CUGUGCGCAUGCGCCCUGCGUGGACUGCUGGAGUGGAGGCUGCUUUGGCGGCGGUUCGGAGACGCGGCAGCAGACAAUCCACGAGGCUCUUGGGGACCUGGAUGUGAAAGGGUUCGCGCGGCAUUUGCUACCCUAUUGUUAUGCUGCAAAGCAUCUGAUUGUGUGGACAUACUAAGCCAUGGUUCUCAAAGUAUGGCACCUGGACCAGCAACAUCACAAGCCAUCACCUGGAAACUUGGCUUCAGCCCCACCGGCCACUGAAGUGCCCCUGCGUGGACCGCCAAGGUCCUUCCACC